GAGGCGUACGUUGAAGUGAUGGAUUAAUAUCAAUCAGCGGGCAGAAACUUACGGAGAAUCGAGGAGAAAGCCCUGCGCUUUAGCGCGGGGAGGGUGUCGAUCUUCAAGCGUCC
rnacentral:misc_RNA from 1 species